AGAAUCAACGCUGGCGGCGUGCCUAACACAUGCAAGUCGAACGAGAAAGUGGAGCAAUCCACGAGUAAAGUGGCGCACGGGUGAGUAACACGUGACUAACCUACCCUUGAGUGGGGAAUAACUGAGGGAACCUUAGCUAAUACCGCAUAACACCUACGGGUCAAAGGAGCAAUUCGCUUAAGGAGGGGUCGCGGCAGAUUAGUUAGUUGGCGGGUAAUGGCCCACCAAGACAGUGAUCUGUA
rnacentral:rRNA from 1 species